GUCUUGCUCAGCUGGGGUCAUCUGCUUCUCUAAGACAUCAAGGAAUGCCAAGAUUAGAAGAGCUGAAUCUGGAGUAAGAAUUGGCAAACAUUUACUCUAAGGGCCAGCUGACUGCAAAUUUAUAGCAUACCAAAAAAACAUGGCAGUUUGACUCCUGUAAGUGUAACUAAAAAAAAAAAAAACCAGAGUCACGCAGAAGACACCGAAUCAGCCCGCUGCAGACAGCCAGGUCUGCGCACACCCUACCGAGGUCCCAAGUCGCACGGAAGACACCGAAUCAGCCCGCGCCCCGGCAACAAUCCACUGGACACCCCCACACCCCCACACCCCCGCUCCUCUGUACAGCCACCUGGUUCCACACUACAAAGACGCAGAGGACACCGGACCACCAGACCACAGUACUGAGUCCCGCUGCUCCUGGCCCAGAGGUAGGGGCUUCUGAGCCGCUGUCCCACUGCUCCUGGCCCAGAGGAAGGGGCUUCCAGGCCACCAUCCAUCCCUACCGCUGCUCCUGGCCCCUGUCCCACCUCGCCCAGCUCAGAGGAGGUAAUCCGUGCAGGUGCCAAUAGACCCCCCCCCCAGUCGAAAUGAGAAAACACGUAAAUAAGUCUCAAAACCAGACUCCCAGAUCACCUACAGCAACCCCAAAGGGAAAUGAGAUGGAACACUCUGAUACUCAACCACCUGGACCCACUCAACUGGCAACAAAAGGGGAUGUGAAAAAAAUGAAAUCAGAAAUGAUUUCUCAGUUAACAGGAGAAAUUGUGCCCCUAGUGCAAGACAUGAUUAAUAAAUCUAGAGAGGAGCUCAGGAACAUGAUGGAAUCCCAACAUAGG
rnacentral:lncRNA from 1 species